AGUCACUGACAUUAGAUACCCCGGUAGUCCCAGCCGUAAACUAUGCUCGCUAGGUGUCAGGCAUGGCGCGACCGUGUCUGGUGCCGCAGGGAAGCCGUGAAGCGAGCCACCUGGGAAGUACGGCCGCAAGGCUGAAACUUAAAGGAAUUGGCGGGGAGCACCACAACGGGUGGAGCCUGCGGUUUAAUUGGACUCAACGCCGGGAAGCUCACCGGAUAAGACAGCGGAAUGAUUGCCGGGCUGAAGACUCUGCAUGACUAGCUG
rnacentral:rRNA from 1 species